rnacentral:rRNA from 1 species
ACGCUCGACACCUACGGGAGGCAGCAGUGGGGAAUAUUGCACAAUGGGGGAAACCCUGAUGCAGCAACGCCGCGUGAAGGAAGACGGUUUUCGGAUUGUAAACUUCUGUUCUUAGUGAAGAUAGUGACGGUAGCUAAGGAGCAAGCCACGGCUAACUACGUCCCAGCAGCCGCGGUAAUCUGAGCGGGCUGGCAAGGC